GCCUGGGUGGCUCAGUCGGUUGAGCGUCCGACUUUGGCUCAGGUCAUGAUCUCACGGUUCGUGGGUUCGAGCCCCGUGUCGGGCU
rnacentral:tRNA from 1 species